UGUGUUCCAAGAGAGGAACGACUAAAUCCAAUGGCAAACUAGUGCUUCGCCGUCGUCCACUCGGGGUGCGUUACCUCAUCCACGUGAAUUCUCCCAAAAACCGAUUACACCGUCAACCCCAGAUCUGACGUUUCAAUCGACCUCUCACGUACACCGAUUGUACCAAUUGUACCGUUUAUACCGACUGUUUACGCGGAAAAGUCGCGGUCGUGUGUGGGUCACGUGACGGACAGAGAUUGGGUGGCUGUUGGGUGGGUGUAAUUUGACUCAAGAGUGGUAUUGAUAUCCCACGAUGAUUCUGUAACGUGUGGUACAUAAAUAAUGGUACGGUGGGCGCAGGGAUCGGGGAAGACCGGCCUAACCUCAACUUGGCCAGUGCUCAGUGGGCGGCCAUAUUGGAUCGUGAUAUGGGCCCGCAAUUAAGGCCGAGUAGGCCACCCGGACGAGGAGCGCACCUCAGCGAUAAGGAAGACGGAUCAUCCUGGGAACAAUGGCAACAAUCGAAAAAUGAAACUUUCACCUGGAUGAAACGACUGAGGAGACAGGAAUAAAAAUAUUCGAACCAGAUAAGACUUUUCCGCGAAGUGCAUCUCUGCGGAGGACCCCGGAAAUGCGCGAUUGUAAAAGGUGGUGAUGCUCCGGGGGUUUUCAUGCCUGGGGAGAGGAAAAAACCGAGAGGACCUGCAGAGGUGGGAGAGGAGAGGGCCAUUAGUAGGCAUUUUGUGUGGUCCAGAGUGAACACAAGUGACGCUCCUAUGCAAAUUCAGCCACUACCGCAAUAAAUACCGAGAUGGUGGACCGAUGGGUGGCUCUGGGGGUCCGCUGGUUUAAUCUUUCGGGGGUACCAACACCAGCAUGCAUUCCGCAUUAAUUUCUAUUUAUCAUAAAGACCUGUGAAUUUCGGCAUUUGGGGAAUUAGUCUUUGUAGAUAUCCUGAAAAUAUUUAAUGAGUGACAAUUCAUUAAUUUCGAGAGAAAAUCUUAGAACGAUUAGUCAAAAUCACGAACUUUUAAAAAAAAUCAGUAGAAACUGUAAACUGACUUGCAAUUAGCUCAUAAAAAUAA